AUUGAACGCUGGCGGCAUGCCAUACACAUGCAAGUCGAACGGUAACAGGUCUUCGGAUGCUGACGAGUGGCGAACGGGUGAGUAAUACAUCGGAACGUGCCCGAGAGUGGGGGAUAACGAGGCGAAAGCUUUGCUAAUACCGCAUACGAUCUCAGGAUGAAAGCAGGGGACCGCAAGGCCUUGCGCUCACGGAGCGGCCGGUGGCAGAUUAGGUAGUUGGUGGGAUAAGAGCUUACCAAGCCGACGAUCUGUAGCUGGUCUGAGAGGACGACCAGCCACACUGGGACUGAGACACGGCCCAGACUCCUACGGGAGGCAGCAGUGGGGAAUUUUGGACAAUGGGCGCAAGCCUGAUCCAGCCAUGCCGCGUGCAGGAUGAAGGCCUUCGGGUUGUAAACUGCUUUUGUACGGAACGAAAAGACUCUGGUUAAUACCUGGGGUCCAUGACGGUACCGUAAGAAUAAGCACCGGCUAACUACGUGCCAGCCGCCGCCGUAACAC
rnacentral:rRNA from 1 species